rnacentral:rRNA from 1 species
UUUCCUACGGGGGGCAGCAGUAGGGAAUAUUGCUCAAUGGGGGAAACCCUGAAGCAGCAACGCCGCGUGAAGGAAGAAGGAAUUCGUUCUGUAAACUUCUGUUAUAAAGGAAGAAAGGCGGAUGAAGGAAAUGACAUCCGAGUGACGGUACUUUAUGAGAAAGCCACGGCUAACUACGUGCCAGCAGCCGCGGUAAUACGUAGGUGGCAAGCGUUAUCCGGAAUUAUUGGGCAUAAAGAGGGAGCAGGCGGCAGCAAAGGUCUGUGGUGAAAGACUGAAGCUUAACUUCAGUAAGCCAUAGAAAC